rnacentral:rRNA from 1 species
UGGCGUUCAUUUCAUUAGUGGAUAUACCUGUUCCCAUCCCGAACACAGAAGUCAAGCAUUAAUGAGCCGAAGGUA